AAAAAUACUCAACGAUGGAUAUCUUGGUUCCCAUAUCGAUGAAGAACGCAGCGAAAUGCGAUAUGUAAUGCGAAUUGCAAAAUCCACGAGUCAUCAAAUCUUUGAACGCAACUGGCGUUGGCUACCUGCCAACAUAUUUGUAUCAGUGU
rnacentral:rRNA from 1 species